rnacentral:rRNA from 1 species
UACGGGGGGGGCAAGCGUUGUUCGGAAUUACUGGGCGUAAAGGGCUCGUAGGCGGCCAACUAAGUCAGACGUGAAAUCCCUCGGCUUAACCGGGGAACUGCGUCUGAUACUGGAUGGCUAGAGGUUGGGAGAGGGAUGCGGAAUUCCAGGUGUAGCGGUGAAAUGCGUAGAUAUCGGGAGGAACACCUAUGGCGAAGGCAGCUCGCUGGGACGUUACUGACGCUGAGACGCGAAAGCGUGGGGAGCAAACAGG